GCAUCGGUAGCUCAGUGGCAGAGCGGUGGGGCGUUGACCCAUGUGGACCGUGUUCGAGCUCCGGCCGAUAUA